rnacentral:rRNA from 1 species
UACGAAGGGUGCAAGCGUUAUUCGGAAUUACUGGGCGUAAAGCGCACGUAGGCGGAUCGGAAAGUCAGAGGUGAAAUCCCAGGGCUCAACCCUGGAACUGCUUUGAAACUCCCGGUCUUGAGGUCGAGAGAGGUGAGUGGAAUUCCGAGUGUAGAGGUGAAAUUCGUAGAUAUUCGGAGGAACACCAGUGGCGAAGGCGGCUCACUGGCUCGAUACUGACGCUGAGGUGCGAAAGCGUGGGGAGCAAACAGG